UACGGGGGGGGCAAGCGUUGUUCGGAAUUACUGGGCGUAAAGGGCUCGUAGGCGGCCAACUAAGUCAGACGUGAAAUCCCCAGGCUCAACCUGGGAACUGCGUCUGAUACUGGAUGGCUUGAAUCCGGGAGAGGGAUGCAGAAUUCCAGGUGUAGCGGUGAAAUGCGUAGAUAUCUGGAGGAAUACCGGUGGCGAAGGCGGCAUCCUGGACCGGCAUUGACGCUGAGGAGCGAAAGCUAGGGGAUCAAACGGG
rnacentral:rRNA from 1 species